CACGGCUAACUUACGUGUCUAUCAGCCGCGGUAAUACGUAGGUGGCAAGCGUUAUCCGGAUUUAUUGGGCGUAAAGCGAGCGCAGGCGGGUUUUUAGUUCUGAUGUGAAAGCCCUCGGCUUAUCCGAGGAAGCGCAUCGGAAACUUGGAAACUUGAGUGCAGAAGAGGACAGUGGAACUUCCAUGUGUAGCGGUGAAAUGCGUAGAUAUAUGGAAGAACCCCAGUGGCGAAAGGCGGCUGUCUGGUCUGUAACUGACGCUGAGGCUCGAAAGCAUGGGUAGCGAACAGGAUUAGAUACCCUGGUAGUCCAUGCCGUAAACGAUGAAUUCUAGGUGUUGGAGGGUUUCCGCCCUUCAGUGCCGCAGCUAACGCAUUAAGCAUUCCGCCGGGGGAGUACGACCGCAAGGUUGAAACUCAAAGGAAUUGACGGGGGCCCGCACAAGCGGUGGAGCAUGUGGUUUAAUUCGAAGCAACGCGAAGAACCUUACCAGGUCUUGACAUCUUUUGAUCACCUGAGAGAUCAGGUUUCCCCUUCGGGGGCAAAAUGACAGGUGGUGCAUGGUUGUCGUCAGCUCGUGUCGUGAGAUGUUGGGUUAAGUCCCGCAACGAGCGCAACCCUUAUGACUAGUUGCCAGCAUUUAGUUGGGCACUCUAGUAAGACUGCCGGUGACAAACCGGAGGAAGGUGGGGAUGACGUCAAAUCAUCAUGCCCCUUAUGACCUGGGCUACACACGUGCUACAAUGGAUGGUACAACGAGUUGCGAGACCGCGAGGUCAAGCUAAUCUCUUAAAGCCAUUCUCAGUUCGGACUGUAGGCUGCAACUCGCCUACACGAAGUCGGAAUCGCUAGUAAUCGCGGAUCAGCACGCCGCGGUGAAUACGUUCCCGGGCCUUGUACACACCGCCCGUCACACCAUGAGAGUUUGUAACACCCGAAGCCGGUGGCGUAACCCUUUUAGGGA
rnacentral:rRNA from 1 species